rnacentral:rRNA from 1 species
UACGUAGGGGGCGAGCGUUACCCGGAUUCACUGGGCGUAAAGGGGGCGUAGGCGGCCGUGUAAGUCCGGUGUGAAAUGCCACGGCUCAACCGUGGAACUGCGCUGGAAACUACACGGCUUGAGGACGGUAGAGGGAGACGGAACUGCUGGUGUAGGGGUGAAAUCCGUAGAUAUCAGCAGGAACGCCGGUGGGGAAGCCGGUCUCCUGGGCCGCUCCUGACGCUCAUGCACGAAAGCGUGGGGAGCAAACAGG